rnacentral:rRNA from 1 species
GCUGUCUCAAAGAUUAAGCCAUGCAUGUCUAAGUACAAGCCUCAGUAAGGUGAAACCGCGAAUGGCUCAUUAAAUCACACCUAAUCUACUGGAAAGUUACUAGUUACUUGGAUAACUGAGGUAAUUCUUGAGCUAAUACAUGCGAAAAAUCUCGACUCACGGAGAGAUGCUUUUAUUAGAUCAAAACCAAACGGCUUCGGCCGUCUCAUUGGUGACUCUGAAUAACUUUCGGAUCGACCUUUCGGUCGAUGCAUCAUUCAAGUUUCUGCCCUAUCAGUUGUGGAUGGUAGGGUAUUGGCCUACCAUGACUUUAACGGGUAACGGAGAAUUAGGGUUCGAUUCCGGAGAGGGAGCCUGAGAAAUGGCUACCACAUCCAAGGAAGGCAGCAGG